rnacentral:lncRNA from 1 species
CCUAUUACAUGAAAAGGCUGUAAUAGCCAUUCAUUGCCUACAUAUCCGAUUGGCUAUUCCAUCCGGCUCUCUUUUCCCAAUUUUCCAAUUUCUGCCUUCCUUCAUCUUCUCCUUCACUUUCUUGCCAUUUUUCAGAUCUUCCCCUUCAUCUUCUCCCACAGAUCUGUAACUUUCUCUCCUUCUGUUCCCAUAUUUCAGGUAAUUUAUUUUUUCCUUCUUUUUAACGUUUCUCUUUUGUACUUUAGAAACUGAAGCAAAGGCGAAGAAAAUAGAGAAAAAGAUGACAAAAAAAUUUACUGGAAAUGUUAGACAGUGUUUCUUUUCUUUAGUUUACUAGUUUCGAAAUUUUUAACUCUUUGCUUAAAACCCAUUUCUUGGAUUUCGUUGUUUUUUCAGGGUUUCUAAAAAGAAGAAAUUUUCAAGGUAAUAUGCUUUGUACCCUUUUACUUCUACUUCUUGUUUUAAACCCUUUCUUGCAUGUGAUCUUUGCUGAGACAGUUUAUGCAUGUCUAUGGUCUUGCAUUUUCUUUCUCCAUCUUGCCGAAGUAGAGAGUCCCUUGUGUAGUUGACCUUUGUCAAGGUGAGUCUUUUCAUAUUCCAGAUAUAAGAGGAAAAAAUUCAGCCAAUCUCUUUGCUGUUUACCCGGCAUGAUGACUUUGUGAAGUUAAGUGGCUAAAAUUUCUUGUUUUUGGCUGUUGAUUCUCAUCAUUAUGGUUCAGGCUACUAGUUCAUAAACAGAAAAAACAUAAUAUAUAUUUUUAUCAUAAAUGUAGUUUCAUGCAUGAGUAGAUAUUACUGUAAUUGGAAUUUUGAUUUCAUGUACCUGCAUUCUCUCCUUGUUAGCAUCGCGUAUUACUCUUCCCUUGUCCAGUAAUGAUGGAUUAAGCGGAUCUCAGUGAUUCUUAUAUUAAAAGAUGGGAGUUUUGUUAGUUUCUCUGAACUGUUGAUUCUAGUUCUUGGAGUUCGGGAACUCCUAAAUUUCCAUAUUUCCUUUUAUCUGGCUUUGCAAUUGCAUGUAAAUCUGUUGUUGAAGUUUUCAAUUGGAAAUGGUUUCUAUAUUUUUCUUGAAUGAUCUGUUUAUAUUGUGCUCUGGAUUUUUUUUUUAAAAAAAGAAGAAAAAAUUAUCCAAUUUACGUUUAUUAAAGUUAGCAUUGCAAAUUGUCCAUGAAGCAUGGAGUUUAGAGGAUGGAUACUAAAUCACAAGGGCUAGUUUAUUAUUAUUAUUAUUAUUAUUAUUAGUAUUAUUAUUAUUAUUAUUAUUAUUAUUAUUUUCUUGAAGGAAUGUUCGAUUUCAUUCUUGCAUAAACAAGUAAUAGAAUUAAAUGGGGGAAAAUUGAUUCUUCUUGGAGGAUAUGAAAUCCCACCAUGUAAACGUCAUACUUGAGAUAUUUGGGAAAUGAGGGGAAAAAUUAGACACUCUAGGAGACCCUUUAAUAUCAUUAGCGAUAACUUUUCCUUUUUCCCUUGCAUCUUGUGGUCUUUUUUUUUGUAAUAUUAUUCCCCUUAUCAUUAUACUUAUUGGAAGUUAUUACAACAGUUUUAGUGCACUGUCACUGCUCAGACAGACUGUCGAGGGAGCCUUACAUUACAACCUUACAUUAUUGCACUGUCCCCUGCAUCUUGUGGUCAAUUUAACUUUUACUUGUUUUAUAAGAAAGACUCAUUUAGCAACUCAAUAACUAAUCUUCGUGGCUGAUCAUAACAGCCAAUUUCUUCUCAAGUCACUCCCUAAUUUGUGUAUAUCUAAUACACUUGGAACAAGAGAUGAGCUUGGUAGUUUUUGUUGGUUUAUAAGGACAAGGAAAUAAUAAUAGUAUGCUUUUUCUUAGAGAAAUAAUAAUUUGGAUUUUCAUAACAUGUUACUAUAAAUUACAAAAAGAAAAGAAGAUUACAUUAUGAGACAAAUGUACUAAGAUUAUGGCACAUGGAACAUAUAUCUAUGCUGGUGGGAACAUCCUAUCCUAGUCCCUUGUGCAUUUAUGCUAAUGCUAGCAGUAAUGUAAGAGUUUUUCGAGGGAAAUUAAACUCUUGGGUAAACUUGAGAUUUGAGUGCAAUAAAUAAAAACAAAUAUUUUAUCAAUUUUUUAGGCAAAGAUAGAAAAGAUAGUUUGCAUGCUGUCGAGGAAUUUAACUGACCAAAAGAUAGAAUUUUUAGUGAAAUUUCUAGCUGUCAAGGGAGCUGCCGAAGCAUGCAGUUUGCAUGCAUGCUGUCUAAUUUCUUACCAAUUUAGGUGGUCUGAUCGAUGGUUGUUUAUUGUUGUCCAAAUAAUAAUUAAAGAUCAACCAAAUGAUGAGGGAAUUAAAAUGGUCUGAACAAUGUGAAACUAAAUUGUUAAAUAUUAACUAAUGAUGUCCAAAUGGAUAUGAUUUAUGAUGUUAGUAAGCUAAAAAUUUAGGUGUUAAAUGCUGCAAUUUAUGGUGUCUGAAAGUUGUGAUUUAUGAUAUUAAUAAUGAUGUAUUUUAAGUUGUUCGAAUGUGUUAAAGAGUUGAUUUAAUUUAAUGCAUAAUGGUUGUUUACUGUUGUUCAAAGCAUGAUGAAAUAAACAUGUUAGGCGUAGUUUAAUAUAUGCCUUGUUGAGCCGUAAGGUUGUCCAAAACAAGACAAAAUUUAGUUGUCUUUAAGAUGUUCGAAUGUGGUUGUUCGAAUGGUUCUCCAAAUGUGUCUUUAAGGUGCUCGAAAAUGUCAUAUUAAUGUUGUCCAUGUAUGAUUUAAUGUUUUAUCAUUUGGAGCUUUAAUAUUUUAACACAAGUGAUGUUAAUUUCUUGUCUUGAUAACAUCUUUAUUAUUUACUGAUACAGGUGGACAGACAAGUAUCAGGUAACAGACAUAAACAAAUAUCUUCACUGCAAUGAUGAUACCAUUACUCUUUUCUAGUAAUAUGGGAAAGACAAUAUAUACAUGUUAAACUACAUUUACAAUUCGGAUUGGAUCUUUUUACUUUAAACAAGAACAUUUUGGUUAUAUUUAAUUUUCGAUAUGUUUUUAUUUUUGAUAUGUUUCAUUUAAAACUAUUUUAAUCUUUUCAUAUAUUAUUAAACUAUUAUUAUUUUCGAUAUCUUUAAUUUAUGUUAUAUUUAAUUUUGGUCUUCAAACAAUGUUUUAUAUUACUUAUAUUAUUUGAUUAAAAAUUAUAAUUAACACUAUAAAAAUUCUGCUAAGGGUAUUUUAGUCAUUUUAGUUUUUUUUCUUAUACUAUUACAACAUAAGAAUACUAUUACAGUUCUAUUCCAUUCCAUUCAACCAAACAAUUAAAUUACUUAUUACAGUUCUAUUCAAUUACAACUUUAUUUCAUUAUAGUGAACCAAACGUACCCUCAGUAUUUUAUUAAUCUUGGGUUUGUAUAUAUGCCUAGAAAAAUGAUAAAAUCUUUUCAACUAAAUGAUAACGUGUUCAAUAGCUUCUUUUUUUUUUUUUUUCUUAUACUAGUUCCCAUGUGCUUUUAUAUGUUUAUUUUUUAAAUUUAUCAAAUAAUAUAUUUUUAUGAUUUAAAAGAAAAUAUAUUUACUAAUUAGAAGAGAAUUAAUCUAAUUUAUAAUAAAAUUAUAUUUAUUUUAAAAGUAGUGAAAAAUAAAAAGUGAGAAACAAUUAAUAGCAAAAUAUUAAAUAAUUAGAAAAAAUAAUUUGUCUUUUGAAUAGGAGUCGAAUUUUCAUCUACAAAGAACCAUUACUUUAAUACUUUAUUAAAUUUAACAUAAUAUUUCACAACAUUCACAAUUAUGUAAACAUUAUUAAAAUAAAAUAAUAGUAAAAUUAUCAAAUAUCUAAUAAAAAUAACUAAACAUCUCAAAUAAUAAUUAAAAUCAUACUUUUUUUCUUUGUGAUGGAAACAAAACCUACUAAAUAAUUUUAAAAUAUGAUUUUUCUAGUAAUUUUUUAGAUGUUAUUUUGAAUGAAAAUACAUUGCUCAUGCAUAUAUUUAUAGUGCUAAAUAUUAGGCUUAAUUGGUAUAUAAUUGCAACACUAAUUAAAUGAUAAUUAAUCUAAAAUAAUAAAUGUAAUUUAAUAUGAAUCCAAAGCCUAUUUAAGUGAUAUUAAUAAAACAAUUAUAAUUAUAACUAUUUUAUUAAUAAUGUUUCUAUUAAAUCUUGAAUAUAAAAUUACAUUCAUAAUAAAAUAUUAAUAUAAUAAUUAUAAUUAUAAUUUUUUUGUAUUAUAUUUUAUUAUUGAUUUUAUAGAUUUAAAAAAUAUGAGAAACAUAGAUAACACAAAAUACUAAUUCUUAUUAAAAAUUAUUUAAUUAAAUUAUAGAAUAUAUUUAUUUUCUUUCGAGUUUUGAUAUAUUAAUUAAGAAUCAACAUAUUUAUAUUUUUAGACUAGAUUACCAAUAAAUUGAUAUUAUCUUUAUAUAUAUAUAUAAGGUUAAUCUUAUACAUUUAAUUUUUAUUAAUUAAAAUUUAAUAUUUAAAUAAAUUAUAAAAUAUAUUUAUUUUCUUUUGAGUUUUGAUAUAUAAAUUAAGAAUAAAUAAAUAAAGUUAUACAGAUUAGAUUACCAAUAUAUUAACAUUAUCUUUUUAUAUAUAAUGUUAAUCUCACAAAUUUAAUUUUCAUUAUUUAUAGAAUCGAUUUUAAUAUAAUGUUAAUCUCACAAAUUGGUUUUUAAUUAUUUUUAAUUUACCCAAUCAUAUUCUAUGAUUUUAUAGAUUUAUAAUAUUAAUAAUAUAUUAUGUUUUUUUAAAUAGAACUUUUAAAAGAUAUGAUUAAAUUAAUUAAUUUCACAUUAAUAUAUUAUCAUAUUAAUUAAUAUUAAAUUUAUUUUUAUCACAUAAUAAUACUAAAUAAAUGUUAAUUUAAUAAUAUAAUUAAUAAUAAAGGGUAUUAUUAUAGUGGGUCGAAAGUGUUUUUAUAUAUAUAUUAUAUACGUGUGUGAUAUUAGAUUAUAUUAUAACACAUAUAUUAAUUUUCAUAUUAUAAUCUCAUUGUAGGUUAAGUACAUAUUUUAUUCAUCCAAGAAAGGCAAAAUGUUGGUACAAAUUACACUAAUGUCCUACUAGACAGCUACAAACAACGGUAUCAUCUCAGCUAUUUACAAUUAAUUUUCGAUCUCUACAUCUAUGAUCAGAAGUAUUUACUACAAAAAAAAUAUAGAUAAAAGGAAAAAUAUUCUCAUUGUCAAGACCUCAAUAUAUAUACAAGUAAUGUCCCAUAAUUUUUACUAUAAAGGAAAUAUUUUGUAACAAACAAAUGGUGAAUGGUGAAUCAGUUGUGAAUUGAGCUGAGUUGGCCAUUCUAUUUGUUAUUCAUUUCUUCUGAUAUUCCCUCUGCAUUUCCUUGCUGAAAUUCUUCAAGUGCAGUAACAUUCAAUUGAUCUCGAAAUAUGGAAAGUGCGCUUGCUGUUAGUGGCUUUGUUAAAACGCCUGCUACUUGAUCAUGCCCAGGAACAUAGUUCACUUGAAGCUUGCCAUUUAAGACCAUGUCACACAUAAAAUGCAAAACGAGCUCAACAUGUUUGACACGUGCAUGUAAGACCGGGUUUGCAGCCAAGGCUACAGAGCUGGAAUUAUCACACCACACCACUGGAGCCUGUUGUAAAGAGAUUCCUAUCUCACUGAGAAGAGACUGAAACUAAAUUAUCUCUAUAGUAGUAUUUGCAAGGAAUUUGUAUUCAGCCUCAGAUGUGGACCUAGACACAACCCCUUAUUUCGUAGACGACCAUCCAAUCAAGUUGUCACCAAGAUAGAUGCAAAAACCAGAUGUUGACUUGUGGUCUUCAAGUGAGCUUGCCCAAUCCGCAUCAGGGAACCCUGUCAGACGGAUUGCCGAGGGUUGAAAAACUAGACCAUGAUCUAACGUACCUUAAGAUUCUUUUUACUACAGUCCAAUGCACAUCAUAUGGCAAGUUCAUAUAUUGUGAGACUUUAUUCACUGCAAAUGUAAUGUUAGGUUGAGUUAAACAGAUGUAUUGAAGGCCCCCUACAAUCUGCCUAUAUUUGGUCCUAUCUUGGAAGUGUGAACCAACAAGAGAGGACAACAUUGGUGACCUGACCAUUGGCGUAGCAACAAACUUGGCAUUCCACAUCAAGUCCAAGAAUAAAACUAAGCUCUUCUAAGAAAACUGACUAUAGAGAGAUUGAAUAACCGAUUCAAUCGAAGAAUUAAAGUCACCAGUAACUAUGAUAUCAUCGACAUAAACAAGAAGAAACACAUUACUACCAGGUACUUCUUGAAGAACAAUGAAUAAUCAGUCUUGGAAGAUUGAAAUUGCAAGUCCUAAACUAAGAAAUCAUGAAGUUUUUUAAACCAAGCUCUAGGAGCCUGUUUAAGCCCGUACAGAGCCUUGUUAAGUUUACAAGCUAGCAGAUUCCCAUUAGCAUCGGCAACCUCGAACCCUGGUAGUUGUCUCAUGUACACCUCAUCAGCCAAACUCCCAUUCAAGAAUGCAUUGUUGACAUCCAUAUGUCUUAACUUCUACAUAUUAGAAACAACUAAAGAAAGCAUAGUGUGCACUGUGUUAACUUUUAAUAACAGGAAUAAAUGUUUCAUGAUAAUCCAUACCCGCAGCUUGAGAGAAGCCUUGUGCUACGAGGCGUGCCUUGUUUCGAACAACUGAGCUGUCACGAUUCUUUUUAUUUUUGAACAACCACUUACACCCAACAAGGGGGCGAUUUGGAAGAGGGACAACCAAACCCCAUGUUCCAACAAUAUCUUUUCGUAAUGGGAUAGACAUGGAUUCAUGAAUGUUGGAGGGUUCCAUUGUACUAGCAAUCGCAACAUAGGCUUUAGGUUUGAAAAUGCCAUCCUUACUCGUUGUAACCAUAGAAUGGGUGUUGUGAGGAGGAGGUGGAUGAGGAUCAUGCUGUGUAGCACUUGUUGAAGAUUCAGGAGAUAACGCGUUGUUAACAAAAUCAGAUGAGACUGAUGGAAGAAAAGUGUGGAAGCUUUCAUGAGAAGUAGUAGUAGAGAGAAGCAAUGGAGACUCAGGCAAAGUAGAAGAGACCACAACAUGUGGUGGUGAAAGGACAAGUGGUAGUGUACACGUAGAAUCAUUAGUGGUAGAGCUAUUAACUGGAGAGGCUGUAGAUAAAUCAGAACGAUCAACAUGAGGAAACACACCCUCAUCAAACUAUACAUGUCGUAAAAUGAAGCUCCUACCAUGUUUGUCGACACACUUGUACCCUUUGUAACUUGGAGCAUACCACAAGAAUGUGCACGGAGUGGAUCAAAACUGGAGCUUGUGUUUGUUAUAUGGUAUUAGAUGAGGUUAGCAAAGACAGCCAAAUACUUGAGGAAUUUGUAAUCAGGUUGUUGGUUAAACAACUUCUCUGUAGGGGAUAUACCAUGGAGUGCUUUUGUAGGCAGUAAGUUCAUUAAAUAGACAGUAGAAGUGAAAUCAUCAACCUGAUAUGAUAGAGGUAACGAUAUUUGAGCAAGAAGGGCUAAGCUAGUUUCAACUAUCUAUUGGUGGUGCCUUUCAACCAGUCCAUUUGUUUAGAGGUACUUCGACAGGAAACACGAUGUUGAAUGCCAAAAAGUUGGAGAUGAAGGUCAAAACUACAAAAUUCCUCACCUCCAUCACUUUGAAUUUUUUUGAUCUUAGUUCCUAACUACAACUUAACAUUUUGUUUAAAGAGUAAAAAUGCUUAUAAGGUAUUUGACUUGUUCCGGAGAAAGUAUAUCCGUGUAUGUUGAGAGAAACAAUCCACAAAUGAAAUAUAAUAUUUAUAACCAUUAGAAUAACAAUGAGCAGGGCCUCAUUGAUCCAUAACAACUAGUUUACAUGGUGCAGUAUAGACAGGUGUGGAAGACUUAAAUGGCAAUUUGUGAUUCUUGCCAAGUGCACACAUGUUACAAAGUGAAGGAAAUUUGAUUCGUGGAACAAUGAUAUUACAUUAUUGUGACACAUUAGCUAAAAAUUCAGUGGAAGGAUGAUGUUGAUGCCACCGAGUGAGCUGAGUUGUGGUUUCAAGAGUCAUUAACUUGCUAGUAGAUGCGUCAUGGACAGAGGAACUAGAGACAGUGUUAUUGAAAGCAGUGAAUUAUUUUGUGGAAGGUAUGGGUAGCAGUUGAUAUAACACAUUUGACUCAACGCCUUGAAGCAAGAUCUUGUGAGUCACUAGAUCCUUCACAUAGCAACAUGAGGGAUGAAAUUCAAAGAACACAUUAUUAUAUGUUGUAAACUUAGAAACUAACAAAAGAUUUUUGUGUAUUGCAGGAACAUAUAGCAAAUCAAUGAUAGGUAUGUGAAUGGAACCAGAAGAAAUAUACGACUCACCAAUGUGAAAAAUAGAAGCAGAAUUCCCAUUCCCCACAAUCACUUUACCUGAGCCAAUGUAAGGGUUGCAACAGGAAAACUUGAACGGAUCAUUAGUCAUAUGAGUCGUGGCACCACUAUCAGGAUACCAAGUUGCACCGGAGACAACGCCUAUGGUAGUAGGCUUGGAAGCAGUGGAUGAAGAAUCACCUACACAUGAUUGAACAGUAGAGUGGAAAGAGGGCUUGUAAGAUUUAGUAUGAACAAAGUCGGCUUCAGGAUGACAAUGCCCAACAAAACCAUUGUCUAUGUAGCACACGUGGGCUAAACAAGGGCCAAAACUUGUGCGAGUGAUAAAACUAGAAGAAAUUGGUCCAUAGAGCCAGAUCCCAGAGUGAGAAGCAGCACCAAUAGAAUCUUUAUAAGAAUCAUCAUAGCGAUAAAAGCACCAGCGAGCCAUAUGGAAAAUUUUGCCUAUAACACCCCUAACCUGUAUCCAUCUACGGAACAAGGUUAUGGAGCAUUACCGGAGUUUACAGAAUAAAUAUACAAAAAUUUCAAACAUUUCACAUCAUAUAAUAAUCAUAUCAUAAACUAAUCGAAAUCAAACAUAUUAUCCCUUAUAUGAGCCAUCGAGGCCCAAAAUACGCAUUAGAAACAAGUCGGGACUAAAUCGGAUGCAAAAAUAAUUUUUUCAAAAACACUAAAAUUUUUCAAGCUACAAGGGUUACACGGUCAAGAGACAUGCCCAUGUCUUAGGCCGUGUGGGCAUUUGAAAUAGGGACACAUGGCCGUGUCCUAGCCCAUGUUCGUGCCCUUGUAACUCUCUGACUUGGGCCACAUGGCCAAACCACACGCCCGUGUGCUAGGUCGUGUAAGCAUACAGACUUGAACAAUUUAAAAGAUACAGGGGACACACGGUCAUGUCACCUGGCAAACGACUAAGACACACACCCGUGACUCUGCCCGUGUGGACGAAAAUAGGUUAAUUUCCUAGCCACAUUUCUCACCCAAUUUGACAUCAACCUAACCCUACAUUUUUGCACAUCAACAAUCCAUAACAAGGCAUUCAAAACAAGCCAAAAUCAAGUUUUAAACAUGAAAUAUCAUCACAUACAACCAAUAUGCCCUUAGGCACCUCAAAUGACAACUUAAAGGCAUAUCAACCAAGUACCUUAACUUACCUAAAUGACCAAAUUCAUAUAUGCAUAUUCAAGCCACAUUUUAUUUUCUUUCAUUCUACCAUAUCAAUCACACAUCAAACAUGAUAAGGUCACUUAUUAUACAUAUCAAAAUAUACCAAAAACAAGCUAUAUACAUGGUUAGCCUCAACAAAACAUUUAUAUGCCAUCGUUGGCCAAAAUAACCUAUACAUGCCAUUAUAUCCGAGAUUAAUUUACUAAAAGUACCAAAAGGAUUAAUGGAUAGUGUGAAAUAACUACGACCAACUUCCAACCCGAACGAGCUUCCGAAUUACUAUAAAACAUGGAAAAAUAACACAGAGUAAGCAUUUAAGCUUAGUAAGUUCGUAUAACACGAAAUUUAACUUACCAUAUAUCCAUGCCAUAGGUAAGUAAACAUAACAUAUCUCAACCAAUUUGGCCAAAAGCCUAAACACAUGAUCGCUAACAUAUUAGCCUUGAAAAUCACAUAUAAGAUCGAACACACAUGGUUGAAUUCAUCAAAUAAUUACAUUUCAUGUUUUUCCUAUAAAUACCAAUAAUAGUUCAUAUCGAACUGAUAUAAUCUCGUAACAGAACUGUGCCCGUUGAACCAUUUAGAAUAUCGUUGGAUACACGGGUAGUACACACAAGGUGUACUGAACUGUAAUCUGUCAAUUCAUAUACAUGUAUGCUCAUACGAGCUAUAAACAGUAAGCUCUUUCGAGCUGAAUAACGGGAACCUCAUGCGAGCUGAAUAACGGAAAGCUCAUAAGAGUUGAAAUCGGUAACCCUAAUGACAUGUCAUUUGUUUCCUACGGAUUCCUAAGGUUCAAACGGGGCUCGGUAAUUGCCGAAUAUGCAACUGGUAUUUAUUUAUGGAAAUUGUACAAUUCACAAACAAUAAUUCAAUUUAACACAUAUAAAUGUACAAUUUAAUUACACGAACUUACCUUAACGAAUUUACAUAGAUAUGAAGGUGUCUAAUCCGAUAUUUUUCCUAUGCCUCGAUCUAACUCCGUACUAGGUUUAACCGGAUCUAUACAAAUGGAUUUAACUCAAUUCAAUAUAAUUCAUAUUCAAUUUAGUCCAACACACAUUUUUGGCAAAGUUACUAUUUUUCCCUUGUACUUUUAAUCAUUACAAUUUAGUCCCUAAGCUCGAAAAUGUAAUUCACACAAUUUAAUCUUUACUUAAGCCUAGUCGAUUUUUAUACCUAUUAGUAGCAGCCCAUAUAUUUCAUAAAAUCCACAAAUUUCACCAUAAACUUAUCAUCUUUUCAAUUUAAUCCCUAAUUGAUAAUUUCAUCAAAUUUCUCUUUAUAAAAGUUGUUUAUCUAACAACUACCUUUCAUUUUUUAUCAUAAAACUUCAAAAUUCAAGCAUACUCAUGAAUGAAAAAGCCUAAUACUUUAACUUUUUUGUAAAUUAAUCCCCGAACUAGCUAGAUUAAGCUACUACGAUCUCGGAAACAUAAAAAUGAUUAAAAACGGGACAAAAAUACAUACCAAAAUGAGCAAAAUAUGCUUGCUAAUAUUUCAAGCUUCUAUGGCUAGGUUUUCUCUUUUUUAUUUUAUUUUGGUGGUAGAUGAUGAUAAUAGAUGAUAUUUGUUUAUUUUAUUAAUUUAUUAAAAUUUUAAUCACAAAUUUCCAAAAUUAACCAUAAUAUUUCAUUAAAUUUCCAAUGAUGACUAUUCGUACUUAUCCACUAACGACUUUAAUGGUCUCUUUACUAAAUAAGGACCUCUAAUUUAAAAUUCUAUAGCUUUUUAAUACAUUUAGAUAUUAGAACUCAACUUUUGCACUUAAUGCAAUUUAGUCCUUUUUAUCAAAUUAAACAUUUAAACGAUAAAAUUUUUUAAUGAAAUUUUUAUACGGUAUUUCUGUCAACCAUAUAAUAAUAAAAAUAAAUUUUUCUGACUUUGAAUUUGUGGUCCCAAAAUCACUGUUCCGAUUUCACUGAAAACAGGCUGUUACAACUCUCCCCCUAAAUGAAUUUUUGUCCUAAAAAAUCUUACCAAUAAAUAGGUUCGGAUAUUGCUUUCUUAUAAUUUCCUCGGGUUCCCAGGUAGCUUAUUCUAUUCCAUGUCGUUGUGAAAGAACUUUUACUAAAGCUACAUUUUUAUUUCACAAUUCUUUCACCUCUCGUGUUAGAAUUCUAAUCGGUUAUUCACCGUAUGUCAUGUCAGGUUGGAUCUCAACAUCCGUCGGGGAGAUAACAUGUGAAGGGUCAGAUCGGUAUCGUCGUAACGUAUACACAUGAAAGACAUUGUGAAUCUUUUCUAGUUCUAACGGUAAAGCUAAUCGAUAAGCAACAAGUCCGAUUCUCUCAAUAAUCUUAUACGGCCCGGUAAAUUGUGGAUUCAGCUUUCUUUUACGACCGAACCGAAUAACUUUCUUCCAGGGCGAAACUUUCAAAAAUACUUUGUCACCAACUUGAAACUCUAUAUCUUUACGUUUAAGAUCCGCAUAAGACUUCUAACGAUCUGAAGCUGCUUUUAAUAUCUCGAACCGCUUUUACUUUUUCCUCUGUCUCGCGAAUCAAAUCAACCCCAUAUAUAUUUUUCUCACUGAGCUC